GUGCCAGCAGCCGCGGUAAUUCCAGCUCCAAUAGCGUAUAUUAAAGUUGUUGUGGUUAAAAAGCUCGUAGUUGAACCUUGGGCCUGGCUGGCCGGUCCGCCUCACCGCGUGCACUGGUCCGGCCGGGCCUUUCCCUCUGUGGAACCCCAUACCCUUCACUGGGCGUGGCGGGGAAACAGGACAUUUACUUUGAAAAAAUUAGAGUGCUCCAGGCAGGCCUAUGCUCGAAUACAUUAGCAUGGAAUAAUAAAAUAGGACGCGCGGUUCUAUUUUGUUGGUUUAUAGGACCGCCGUAAUGAUUAAUAGGGACAGUCGGGGGCAUCAGUAUUCAACUGUCAGAGGUGAAAUUCUUGGAUCAGUUGAAGACUAACUACUGCGAAAGCAUUUGCCAAGGAUGUUUUCAUUAAUCAGGAACGAAAGUUAGGGGAUCGAAGACGAUCAGAUACCGUCGUAGUCUUAACCAUAAACUAUGCCGACUAGGGAUCGGACGGUGUUAUUCAUGACCCGUUCGGCACCUUACGAGAAAUCAAAGUGCUUGGGCUCCAGGGGGAGUAUGGUCGCAAGGCUGAAACUUAAAGAAAUUGACGGAAGGGCACCACCAGGGGUGGAGCCUGCGGCUUAAUUUGACUCAACACGGGGAAACUCACCAGGUCCAGACACAAUAAGGAUUGACAGAUUGAGAGCUCUUUCUUGAUUUUGUGGGUGGUGGUGCAUGGCCGUUCUUAGUUGGUGGGGUGACUUGUCUGCUUAAUUGCGAUAAACGAACGAAGACUUUAUC
rnacentral:rRNA from 1 species